rnacentral:rRNA from 1 species
ACGGAGGGAGCUAGCGUUGUUCGGAAUUACUGGGCGUAAAGCGCACGUAGGCGGCGAUUCAAGUCAGAGGUGAAAGCCCGGGGCUCAACCCCGGAACUGCCUUUGAAACUAGGUUGCUAGAAUCCUGGAGAGGUUAGUGGAAUUCCGAGUGUAGAGGUGAAAUUCGUAGAUAUUGGGAGGAACACCGGUGGCGAAAGCGGCUCUCUAGACCGAUACUGACGCUCAUACGCGAGAGCGUGGGUAGCAAACAGGA